GAUGAACGCUGGCGGCGUGCCUAAUACAUGCAAGUCGAGCGAACAGACGAGGAGCUUGCUCCUCUGACGUUAGCGGCGGACGGGUGAGUAACACGUGGAUAACCUACCUAUAAGACUGGGAUAACUUCGGGAAACCGGAGCUAAUACCGGAUAAUAUAUUAAACCGCAUGGUUCAAUAGUGAAAGACGGUUUUGCUGUCACUUAUAGAUGGAUCCGCGCCGCAUUAGCUAGUUGGUAAGGUAACGGCUUACCAAGGCAACGAUGCGUAGCCGACCUGAGAGGGUGAUCGGCCACACUGGAACUGAGACACGGUCCAGACUCCGACGGGAGGCAGCAGUAGGGAAUCUUCCGCAAUGGGCGAAAGCCUGACGGAGCAACGCCGCGUGAGUGAUGAAGGUCUUCGGAUCGUAAAACUCUGUUAUUAGGGAAGAACAAAUGUGUAAGUAACUAUGCACGUCUUGACGGUACCUAAUCAGAAAGCCACGGCUAACUACGUG
rnacentral:rRNA from 1 species